rnacentral:tRNA from 1 species
GCCUUCGUGGUGUAGUGGUCAGCACGCUCGACGCGUAACCGAGAGGUCCGUGGUUCGAUUCCCGGCAAGAGCA